AUCAGGCAACUCUGUUAAUAUAAGGCAGGGAACUUCCGGCAAUUUUAUCACGAGAAAAUUCUUUCGUUUCAGACUUUCGUCGUGAACAGAAGAAAAAAUGAGAGCUAAGUGGCGCAAAAAGCGUAUGAGGAGGUUGAAGCGUAAACGCAGAAAGAUGCGUGCGCGUUCUAAGUAAACUGGAUUAAAUUGGCAACGAUUCUGUUUUAGAUCCUUCGUCUAUAUUCCGAUAAAAUUUAUAAUACGGUGUAACUUCAAGUUCUUGGCAGACACAACCUUAAAAAUUGCCUUAAUAAAUAAAAAUUUUAAUUUGGCUUGAAGUGAAAACAAAAA